rnacentral:rRNA from 1 species
AUUGAACGCUGGCGGCAGGCCUAACACAUGCAAGUCGAGCGGAGAGGCGGACGGGUGAGUAAUGCCUAGGAAUCUGCCUGGUAGUGGGGGAUAACGUCAGGAAACGGGCGCUAAUACCACAUACUAUCAGAUAAGCCUAUGUCAGAUUAGCUAGUUUGUGGGGUAAAGGCCUACCAAGGCGACGAUCCGUACCUGGUCUGAGAGGAUGAUCAGUCACACUGGAACUGAGACACGGCCCAGACUCCUACGGGAGGCAGCAGUGGGGAAUAUGGGACAAUGGGCGAAAGCCUGAUGCAGCCAUGCCGAGUGUAUGAAGAAGGCCUUCGGGUUGUAAAGUACUUUCAGCGGGGAGGCGUUACCCGCAGAAGAAGCACCGGCUAACUCCGUGCCAGCAGCCGCGGUAAUUC